rnacentral:rRNA from 1 species
GACGAACGCUGGCGGCGUGCUUAACACAUGCAAGUCGAACGGAAAGGCCCUGCUCUUGUGGGGUGCUCGAGUGGCGAACGGGUGAGUAACACGCGAGUAACCUGCCCUUGACUUUGGGAUAACUUCAGGAAACUGGGGCUAAUACCGGAUAGGAGCUCCUGCUGCAUGGUGUGGGUUGGAAAGUUUCGGCGGUUGGGGAUGGACUCGCGGCUUAUCAGCUUGUUGGUGGGGUAGUGGCUUACCAAGGCUUUGACGGGUAGCCGGCCUGAGAGGGUGACCGGCCACAUUGGGACUGAGAUACGGCCCAGACUCCUACGGGAGGCAGCAGUGGGGAGUAUUGCACAAUGGGCGGAAGCCUGAUGCAGCAACGCCGCGUGCGGGAUGACGGCCUUCGGGUUGUAAACCGCUUUCGACUGUGACGAAGCGUGAGUGACGGUAAUGGGUAAAGAAGCACCGGCUAACUACGUG